CACGUAAUCGCCGGUGUAACUCAUGUUGGCUGGGGGGCCUCCCGGCGCGCGGCGAGGCUGGGGUGCGCCCCGUGCCACUCGCUUGUGCUCAGCUGCACGGUCCUGGCCCUCAAGUGCACCGAGGGCGGUGAGAGAACUCAACUCCGGCCACCCAUCACUCCCCGGGCUUGCUCUGGAAACCACCUCUGCCUCCGUCUCUGGCCGGGCCCCCUUCGGGGCCAGGGUUCGCAGCCGUGGAUGUGCCUGCCUCGUGGCUUGCCCGAUUUGCACGGUGACUUGAUUACACGCUCGCAUUCAUGGUCACUUCCGAA